GUCCCCAUGAACAGUCCCAUUAUCUGGCUUCGCUCGCAACAUAUACAUGUUUGCCAAGUUCUUAAUAGAACCCUCAGCCGCAAGACUUCGGGCUUCCCUUCUCGUUCUACCAAUCCCUUCACCAACUUUCUCUCCCGCAAACCAAGCCUCAAUGGAGAACUGCAAAUCUCUGCUAUCAACCAAUGAAGGCCUGAAUUCCACCUUGGCACUGCACUUCAUUGCAAUUUCCUGUAACACUCCAACUGGAGUUUCUGCAUUUGGGACAGCUCGUUCAGAUUCAAAAUCAAGAUCCCUGUUGCUGGAAGAUGAUUGACUCAAUGGUAUUUCCUCA
rnacentral:misc_RNA from 1 species